rnacentral:lncRNA from 1 species
UCCUUCUCCUCUCUCUCUCUCUCUCUCUCAUGUAAUACAUCAUAAUUUUGAGCUACUCAGAUAAAGUAAUAUCGUAAGAAAAGAGAGAGGCUGAAGGUUUGACUUUGGACGUGUUCCAAUCUUUUGCGCAGAGAUUUUAACGUUUUGGGCAAUUUAGACCUUCCUUUGCCCUAUUGGGGUCCCACUGGAUUCUUUGCCUUGGAUACCCGGUCAAAAAGAAGUGGGGGAAAGAGAAUAAGGUCGAAAGGAUUUAAGAUUCCAUUCCAACAAAGUGGCCAUCUCUCUAUCAAUAAUGACAAAUCCGAAAGUCAAACAAAAUUUGAGGUGAGAUCUUGUGAUUCUCGGGCAAGAUAUCUGGAAGGCUCACGCCGACUUUUCUCCCUACAUAAAUCCCCACAUUUCAAAGGUCAACCAACUUGUAGCUCUGGACACCACUUGUACUCAAAACUAAUCAUCGAAAAACAUGGACUUGUGGAUUGUGUCCAUAUCUACCAAGCUCUCGUGCCAACUCACUCUUCUUGCUACUUGACUUUGAAACUAUGUAAUCAACGUAACUUAUUUUGGUUUUUCUGGAUCUAAUCAAUAUGACUUUUUUUUUUUUUAAUGGAAAUAGAAGUAGUCUAAGACUACCACCGGUCUUUUAUUCAUAAGAAGCCAUUUACCUAAUCAAUAUGACAUUAAUAAUAUAAAUCUCCAAUCUGCCCAUUUCGCUCAUUAAAAGAAAUCAUUACAAAAUUCUCCAUUAAUUUACAUAAAUUAUACCCUCAAACUACAUUGCAAGCAAUGAGGUGAAUACUAGGCCUGCCAGGAUCCCCAUAUGCACCCACAUUACGAAACGAAAUCAUGGAGAUGACCUAAUUAACUUCUUGGGAGCUCGUUUGGUGAUUCCAAGCUAGAAAUGGAAGAAAAUGAAAUGGUUGCUGGUACUUUUCUUUCCUAGAUGCUUCCAGACAUACUAAAGUAGCAGAAUAUAUGCAUGUAGAUUUGGGAACUUUUGCCCACGAUGGGAAUUGAUGAACACAAAUAAUGGAAAGCGAUGAAUAGUUGGAUGCGAAUAUGAGAAUGUGCAGAGACUUCUUUUUUUCUUCUUUUUAUGAGGUAGAGAAUGUACAUAGACAAGGAGACCGCUGGUGAGGAAAGAGAGAGAGGAGUCAAAAGAGGUUAUUCUUCGAAUUCCUUGGACGUAUUGGAUGGCUCCUUCAAUCCAUGAAAUAAAAGUCUAGAUUCGUAGAAGUUAAAGAAGAGAUAGGACUUCCAUAAGCACUCCACUGAAUCCAUAUAUGGCUUAAUUUGAUCAUGCAGAUAGCAUUGCUAGUCAUGUACGUAAUCUGUCACGCUAGCGUUAUCCAUCAGAGAAGUACAUUGAUGAUUUUUAGAUUACUAAGUACAACCUUGAAAUAAGAUCAGCUCCAGUACUCUACUCUUACGUGGAGAUGGCUUUUUUUUUUUUUUUUGGAGAUGAGAUAUUUUGUAUGUUGCUAAUUUCCUACCGUAAAAGAAUGUACAUGGAUGGCCACCACAUCACCCAUCACAAUGGAUUGCUUAUCUCAGGAUUAUAGACCAUUGCAUUAAUUAAGGUGCCAAUCACAAUGGGUUGCUAGAGUAAGCAAGUGCAUCCAUCCACGAGAUGGAUGAUGUGGAGGUUAUCCAA